rnacentral:misc_RNA from 1 species
AAGUCGUAACAAGGUUUCCGUAGGUGAACCUGCGGAAGGAUCAUUACCAUGUUUAAUCCAAAACACUCAACCCAUGUGCACGAUGAAAUGUCUGUCAUUGGGGUGGGAGAUGUCUGGGGCUGGUAAAACAGACUCAGUUGAUUUCGCCCCACAUGUAUAAACAUCCUUUAAACUUUUAUUGGCAUCUUAAUUGUCUUAAUAAAAAUAGACAACUUUUAACGGUGGAUCUCUUGGCUCGU